GGCAAUAAGUAGCAGAUGGUUUCAAUAAAAACGUGUUAUAAUUAAAUUGAACAUUGAGCUGAUGUGCGGAUACUUAUAUGUUAGUGAUAUUUUAUGCGAAUAACUUUUGAUUAUUUUUUCUCAGAAGGAUACUACAUAAAAUUUUACUGGAUUUAAUUUUGAUAUAAGAGAAAGGAAAAUGAAAUUAACUUUCAGUUUAAUCGUCAGCAUCAUUUUGGUGAGAAAUUUUCUUCAAGCUUUAGAUUUUGAAGUAGUAGAACUAUCUCACGAGCUUGGAUCAGAUACCUUGUUCUACCCAGGGGAUCCUCCAUUUGUCUUUACCAUCAUAUUCCGUGGCGACACCGGGGAUUACUGGUAUGAGUUAAACAAGUUUGAGACAGCAGACCACGGUGGGACCCAUGUGGACGCACCCUCACAUUUUGCCGAGGGUAAAUUGAGAAUGCACGAAAUUCCAAUGGAGAAAUUAAUUGGACCCGGUGUCAUAAUUGAUGUUAA